GGGGUGGUGGCGCAGUUGGCUAGCGCGUAGGUCUCAUAAUCAUGAGGUCGAGAGUUCGAGCCUCUCUCACCCCA